GCAUAUCAAUAAGCGGAGGAAAAGAAAAUAACAAUGAUUCCCUUAGUAACGGCGAGUGAAGGGGGAUAAGCUCAAAUUUUAAAUCUACCAGGUUAACCUGGUCGAGUUGUAAUUUGAAGAAGCGUUUUCCGCGUUCGGGUCGGCCCAAAUCCUUUGGGAUAAGGUAUCAUGGAGGGUGAGAAUCCCGUUCGGCUGACCUUAGGAUGCUUUACGAUACGCUCUCAAAGAGUCGAGUUGUUUGGGAUUGCAGCUCAAAAUGGGAGGUAAAUUUCUCCUAAGGCUAAAUACCGGCGAGAGACCGAUAGCGAACAAGUACCGUGAGGGAAAGAUGAAAAGAACUUUGAAAAGAGAGUUAAAUAGUACGUGAAAUUGUUGAAAGGGAAACGAUUGAAGUCAGUCGUACCGGCGGGAAAUCAGCUUCUCGAGUGGGGGUUCGCGGGUGCGUGGAGCUUCGGCCUUCGUCGCUUGUGACACCUUUUGCUUCUGGAGCGUACUUUUCCGUGUGGUAGGUCAACAUCGGUUUCGAUUGCCAUAAAAUGACCGGAGGAAUGUGGCUUCGAUCUUGUAUUGGAGUGUUAUAGCCUCUGGUAGAUGUGGUGGUUGGGAUCGAGGAUUGCAACGAAUACCCUUUGGGCUAUCCGCCUGACCUCUGAAAGUCGCUUGGGUACCGAAAGCUUGCUUACGGUCAUUCAAGUUGGCGGUCAAAAGAUUAGAACGUGAUUAAAUUCGUUAAGGAUGUUGACGUA
rnacentral:rRNA from 1 species